rnacentral:lncRNA from 1 species
CUAUGCAUGUGUGCAUCUAUCGCAUAAAUCAACAGAUGACGCCCACUCCGUCCCAAUCCUGUAACCCAAAUGCUAUCAUAGUUAAGAUAGUGAAUUUGGGCUACUGUUGACAUCAAUUAAACACAACUUCCUUCAAUUGCGCAUAUACUACGCCUACACGUAUACAGAGAAACAAGUCUCGCGGUCACUCUAAAUACGCAUUUACGUCUGCAGUAUUUUAGUUUUUAGCAUAAAUAUCAGUACAUUGCGUAUGUUAUUACUAUAUAUCAGGUGACCAGCAUAAACGAUGGCCGCUCGAUUCGUUGAUUCGUGCCCUGGACCACUCCAUCACUAGAAAUUUGUCUCGUCAACAAUUGGCCUAUUUCACAGAUCAACUGGCGUACGUUCCUUCUUUCUGUUUGACAAGUCACCUAGAGAAUCGUCACAAUAUUACCAGCACCGUCGCUGGUUCUUAUUGUUAAACCAAUUUGUUUCCGCACCGUCGAUGUGGCCCGCUUCCGCUGGUCUCGUCCCGCUGGUCUCGUCCCGCUUUUUUCGCAGCAUCUAACAAAUACUCGUUGACUGAUAAAGCGUAAAACAACGAAAGCGUCGAUGUCGACGGCCGCAGCAGCGGCAGCAUUGCAAACUACGAUCACGUUAAAUGAACUCGGAUGACGGAUACGCCGCUGUUUUCAUUGUUGCGCCCGCCGUCGUGCAGGACAAAAGCAUUCAGGCCGAGAUUCAGUGUCUCCGAUAGCAAACCCGCGACAGUUCUCACUGAUACGGGUCCAUGCGAUGUCGGGCUUUGCUCAAGCACCGACGGUCAUGGUGAAGACUCGUUUUUUAAAAUCAAAUCGAAUUUAACUCUCUCGGCAUCUGUGUUGGCUCAAGGUCGCAGCCACGGCGGCUUACGCUAAGACUUCGACGAGUACCAGGGGUAACGGUAGCUAGUCAGGUGACGUAAGGACCUGCCGAGAGGAGCUCCGGAUAGGAUGGGGCAAGCCGGAACAAGUAACGAAGCAAAUCGUUUGCUGUUUGUUAAGUGAUUGCGCGACAUUUUGAUUGCAUGGGUUAAAUCGUCGCAUUAGUCGGCACUUAACGACCAUGCUGAGUAGCAAAGCGAUGGGACUUCGUAGAUACUUUACUAUGAACAAGGUUUAAGCUCAUAAGAUGCUAAAAUGUCCGUUGGGUAUUUUGUCUAUUUAACCGUGAAUUAUGAAGACAGUAAUAACGGCGUAUUGGUUGACAGUUCCGUAUCGGCCAACGAUUCCUGCGUCAUCUACAGUGUAAACAUUCAGUUUAGUAACCGUUACAAUAGUCACAGACAACGAAGUAGCUUGAGUGAUUACAAAUUCUGCCAAUCAAAAUAACAGUGACUAUUUAUUUGCGAACGACAUCGUUGUAAGACAAACGAACGGCGGCGGGGAAACGCAGUCGCACUUCGGCCCAGGUUUGUCGUGUAAUGGCCCAGCAGCUGCAUAGGUGGACGGACAGCGGCGUUAUUGCUGCUGCUGCUGCUGCUGGUGUUGUUGUUGUUGCACAACAAUAACAGCAGCUGCGGGAGCGUGCGGCACGUCGGUAAUGCAAUUCGAGGCAUAGCAAAAGGACAAAAGGGUAACAGUAGCUGCAGCAGUACUAAGAGUUGUGCGAUUUGAUUGAAACGUAGAUUUACGAAGCACAGCUUCUGUACAAGUACAGGCACUGACGAUGGCAAAAUCUUGCGCGAAGAAGCGAAUAGUUCUUUGGUUCUUCGGUCGAAAGCUGCUUAAGACGAUCGUACAUUAGAAGUUAGCUGGCUUGGCUGGACCCGGUCGCUUUCAUAUAGCAGCGUCUAUUUACAAUUACGAUAAUUGCCCUGCGGCAUUGUGGCUACCCGCCUGACCAAGAUGUCUACCUAAUUGGCAUACACUGGAGCGGUGAUAGGUAAUUUCCACUUUUCUUUGACGGCUCAUUUUUAUGGAUGUAUAUCUCCUACAGUAUCAAUUGAACGCGACUGUCAAGGUGCGCCACGCGAUUUGCCCAGCUGACGAAUGCUGAACUAGCGCCAAUGUUAGUGAUUCAACUAGAUAGAAUCGCCUGAUAAGAGCAAAGUUAGCGUCGAGGCACCCGCUAACUGGGAACCCGAAAGGCCUGAGAAGUUGCAGUCGUAGAUCGAAGUUUUUUUACUUACCUAAUGGCGCUGGUAAAAACCAUUAUUAACCGAUAAUUAAUUUACUGUAUGAAUCGCUUGGAGUUUUUGAGCGAACCUCUAGAUACAAUUUCUAGUGCUCGUUCCACUGGCGCGCGCUUCUUGACUGUAUACGUGUUUGUUGGGUACGGUAUCGCUGGACGAGAGACACAGGAAGAGAGUUCGCCAUUGUCUCGAUCGUAAGAGGCCCAGAGGAAGGGGGCGAGAGGAACAAAAGACAGCACCACCGAUAAUAGUAUAACUCGGCGCACAUGUCCGCUUCGCGACUCGUCUACGCUUAACGACGACUUCGUGCUAGUGCUGGCUCAAUGCUAUCUCGCAUAUUGCUUCCUGUGUUUUGAAAAGUAGCGCGCUUACUCGAUUAUGUCUAUAGAUGUUGCCGUCAAUGCUCAUUGAUGCCAAAGAUUCGAAGUUGCCAAAUAAAGUUGUCGUUGAUCGCUA